UAAGAGCGAAAGCCUUCUUCUCCAAUUCAUUCCAAUCGAUCAUUGGAAGAGAAGACUUCGAAAAUCCGUUUUCGACAAGAUUCCAAAGUUCAAAAUCCAUAGAAAUAAGAAAGAUCAUCAUUCGGGUCUUCCAAUAGGUGUAGUCCGUCCCAUUGAACAUGGGUGGACGUGUAAUAGAAUGGCCCUCUUGGUUUCCGGCGUAUGUCAUCUCUCUUGGGUUUUAAUCCGUUAGAGAGUUAACCCCGCUCUGAUACCAAUUGUUAGGAUCAAGAGCACUAA
rnacentral:lncRNA from 1 species